GGCAGAGAAGACAAAGCAGAGCCUCACCACUCAGCUCUCCCCUUUAGCUGUCCUUAAUGUCAUUCUCCCCUCCCCCAUUAGACCAUGAGCUCCCUGAGGGCAGGGACUGUUUUUGCCUCUUUGUAUCCCUGGCACCCAGUACAGGGUCUGUCCCAGAGGAAGUGCUUGUUGACAUAAUUUGACUCCUUAGGCAUUCUCAUUUUGUGCUGAGGUAGGGGGACAAGCCCUUGGUGCCCUGGGGGCUAAAGGGGCAGGGAAUGGGAAGCAGUGGCACAGCUGACCCCCGUUCCACUGAGCUCUAAAAAGGUUCACUUGCCAGCGGUGGAGAGGAAGCUAAGACUGAAGCCCUGGACUUGGGAGCAUUGGGGCCUGGGGCCCCCUCUUGGACCUGGCACAGGCUUCACCUGCUAGUUUAGGGCCAACGUCCAAGAUUGCCUUCAAUCUGAGAAUUGCCACCAGUUGUCAGAAGAAUUGGGGUAUCACCAGAAGGCACCAGAUCACAGAAGCAGCCUGAAAAAUGCAUUUUUAUCAAAUGGAAUUGAAGAUGAACUUGCUUAAGGCCAUAGGAUAUUGAGCUGGGAGGCAGUCUAGUAAACUUCUGGUCAAACCCCUUUAUUUUACGGAUAGGGAAACUGAGAACAAAGGAAGAAAAACGUCUUGUUCAAGGCCACACAAGACAGUCCGUGCCAGGAUUUGAACUGAAUCUGGGUUUCCGUAUCGUAAUGCCAGUGCUCUCUCUGCUGUCCCACACUUCUGGGAGGCCAGUCUUAGUGACCUUGCAGAUGCCAGUUCACGUGGCCCCAGGACUCACGAGUUCCCCAUGGAAAGGUUCCACUAGUCCUCCCUCUACAUUUCUUAACCAGCAUUUCUUAACAUCCAGUCCCAUGUGAUAGACUAAUUUUUUCUUUUCUUUUCUGUCUGACCCUGUGAUUUCAUCAAAGUAAAGAAUUCCUGCUGUGGAAACUCCCUCCAUUGAUGGUAAGCAACUCAUCGGCCACUUUAGGGUCUUAGAAUUACGCAACAGAAUGUGUUUGAGACAAUGAGACCACGGAGAAAGAAAAGGCAAAGCUCGCGCUCACAUAUGAUGAGUAUGGGUGAAGAGACCAUCAUUGUGUUCCAAUAAUUGCUCCAAAGCAAGUCUACAAAGAUCUCAAAAGGACCUUCUCAAGCAGAGACAAGCAACCAGGAUGCUGAAGGGCCAAUGUCAUAUGAAGGUCAACUGAAGGAACCGGGGAUAUUUGACACCAGAAAAGAAGGGAUGUAACAUCUUUCUUCACUCCUAUGUUCCCCUCUGGGCCCUAUUCCUGACUCUGCAGAUGACUUCUUUCUUCCUCAUGCUCCAGUUGCCUUCCUGCCUUGGAAGCUGCCAAGGCCCUAUAGCCCCUUCUUCCGAUGGGUCAUUUCCUUCCAGAACGUCCAUUUUAAAGGAGGGCCCCCAGCUUGGCCUUCUUUAUUCCUCUCUGGGCUCUGCUAAUUUCUUUCCCCACAAUUCAUCCUCUCCUCUUCUCUCUUCCUCCACUAGAAUGGAAGCCCUUUGAGGGCAGAGACUGUCUGUCUUUUUGCUUU